UACGUAGGUGGCAAGCGUUAUCCGGAUUUACUGGGUGUAAAGGGCGUGUAGGCGGAGCUGCAAGUCAGAAGUGAAAUCUCCGGGCUCAACCCGGAAACUGCUUUUGAAACUGUAGCCCUUGAGUAUCGGAGAGGCAGGCGGAAUUCCUAGUGUAGCGGUGAAAUGCGUAGAUAUUAGGAGGAACACCAGUGGCGAAGGCGGCCUGCUGGACGACAACUGACGCUGAGGCGCGAAAGCGUGGGGAGCAAACAGG
rnacentral:rRNA from 1 species